UGAACAGCUGCGCGCGUUCUCACGUCGGUGCGCCGAGCGUUGCGUAGUAAGUGCCUCCUGACUCACUCAUACGAGGAAACCUCCAAAAGUGAUGCUGAUGUCUUGUUAUGCAAGACAUCAAGCUUUUUGGGACAAGUCUUGCUAAAGUAUGUCCAGCUGAGUAAAGACAUGGCCAUUGCACAGCAGGGGAGAGGAAAACAAAAA